rnacentral:rRNA from 1 species
GUAGGUGGCAAGCGUUGUCCGGAAUUAUUGGGCGUAAAGCGCGCGCAGGCGGGUCCUUUAAGUCUGAUGUGAAAGCCCACGGGCUCAACCGUGGAGGGUCAUUGGAAACAGGGGGACUUGAGUACAGAAGAGGAAAGCGGAAUUCCAAGUGUAGCGGUGAAAUGCGUAGAGAUUUGGAGGAACACCAGUGGCGAAGGCGGCUUUCUGGUCUGUAACUGACGCUGAGGCGCGAAAGCGUGGGGAGCAAACAGGAUUAGAUACCCUGGUAGUCCACGCCGUAAACGAUGAGUGCUAAGUGUUAGGGGGUUUCCGCCCCUUAGUGCUGCAGCUAACGCAUUAAGCACUCCGCCUGGGGAGUACGGCCGCAAAGGCUG